rnacentral:lncRNA from 1 species
ACGUGAAGAAAUCAGGAAUUAUUCAAUAUAUCUCUACAAAGAACUCAUACACAUGGAUCACGUCUUCAUACAACACUUGUGAUUUUAAGGUGCACCUGGAAUUUGAGGCAAAAUAAGAAGAAAUGGGCAGUCAGCUAAGCAGUGACGAGCAGCAGUCAAAACCAAAGCAAAUUGUUCAAUUUCAACACCAAAAACUUUCACAACCACCCAGAAAUAACUCGCAGAAGAGUAAACAACAAUAAGCCACCGAAAAAAGAUCUGAUUGGACCAAAACACACUCGAAAUCAACCCACAACACUCUUAAUUUUAACAAACGAGAUGUAGAAAUACACAAAAACAAUCAAACCCUGUCAUUCAAACCUAUGCACAGGUCGCUCCAUAAACGAGAAAAGGCAAUAGGGGAUGGAUGUAGGUGGGGGUCGGGUAAGCCCUUUGGCGAGACGUAGCUUUGCUUUCCCUUCAAGGC